UACGAAGGGGGCUAGCGUUGCUCGGAAUCACUGGGUUUAAAGGGUGCGUAGGCGGGUUGGUAAGUCCGUGGUGAAAUCCCCAAGCUUAACUUGGGAACUGCCGUGGAUACUAUCAAUCUUGAAUAUCGUGGAGGUAAGCGGAAUAUGUCAUGUAGCGGUGAAAUGCUUAGAUAUGACAUAGAACACCAAUUGCGUAGGCAGCUUACUACACGAUCAUUGACGCUGAGGCACGAAAGCGUGGGGAGCAAACAGG
rnacentral:rRNA from 1 species